rnacentral:rRNA from 1 species
GAUGAACGCUGGCGGCGUGCCUAAUACAUGCAAGUCGAGCGAACAGACGAGGAGCUUGCUUUUCUGAUGUUAGCGGCGGACGGGUGAGUAACACGUGGAUAACCUACCUAUAAGACUGGGAUAACUUCGGGAAACCGGAGCUAAUACCGGAUAAUAUAUUGAACCGCAUGGUUCAAUAGUGAAAGACGGUCUUGCUGUCACUUAUAGAUGGAUCCGCGCUGCAUUAGCUAGUUGGUAAGGUAACGGCUUACCAAGGCAACGAUGCAUAGCCGACCUGAGAGGGUGAUCGGCCACACUGGAACUGAGACACGGUCCAGACUCCUACGGGAGGCAGCAGUAGGGAAUCUUCCGCAAUGGGCGAAAGCCUGACGGAGCAACGCCGCGUGAGUGAUGAAGGUCUUCGGAUCGUAAAACUCUGUUAUUAGGGAAGAACAUAUGUGUAAGUAACUGUGCACAUCUUGACGGUACCUAAUCAGAAAGCCACGGCUAACUACGUG